AGCGAACGCUGGCGGCAGGCUUAACACAUGCAAGUCGAACGGGCGUAGCAAUACGUCAGUGGCAGACGGGUGAGUAACGCGUGGGAACGUACCUUUUGGUUCGGAACAACCCAGGGAAACUUGGGCUAAUACCGGAUAAGCCCUUACGGGGAAAGAUUUAUCGCCGAAAGAUCGGCCCGCGUCUGAUUAGCUAGUUGGUGUGGUAACGGCGCACCAAGGCGACGAUCAGUAGCUGGUCUGAGAGGAUGAUCAGCCACAUUGGGACUGAGACACGGCCCAAACUCCUACGGGAGGCAGCAGUGGGGAAUAUUGGACAAUGGGCGCAAGCCUGAUCCAGCCAUGCCGCGUGAGUGAUGAAGGCCCUAGGGUUGUAAAGCUCUUUUGUGCGGGAAGAUAAUGACGGUACCGCAAGAAUAAGCCCCGGCUAACUUCGUGCCAGCAGCCGCAGUAAC
rnacentral:rRNA from 1 species